rfam:Clostridiales bacterium KA00274 genomic scaffold Scaffold1, whole genome shotgun sequence.
CGAGGUGUAGCUCAGGUGGUAGAGUGCCUGCUUUGGGAGCAGGAUGUCGUAGGUUCAAGUCCUGUCACCUCGA